GCGACGAGCUCCGGAACGCGUGGCUUGACUUGGAGGCGGACACGACGGGAGACCUGGUGGUUCUUCCAAACGCAGACGCGAGUGCCAUCUCAGCCGGAAAAUGGGUGGCAGGCAUGCAGUGGGUGGUCGACCACUGCCCGGAUGCAGCGCUCAUUCUGAAGAUCGAUGACUUCGUCCUGGUUGAGCCUUUCAAGCUGGUGACUGAGUACCUGCACAAGCAGGUGGCUCUCAGCCCCCACAGCUUGCACUGCCACGUCCGGCCUGGAGACCUCGAGUCUUCCUUCUGCAUGGACUCCACCGUGAUGAUGACUUCCCAAGUCAUGCGCGCUCUGUUGAAGGCGGCGGCCACGACCAGUCACACAGGGG
rnacentral:lncRNA from 1 species